AGUUGGUGGAGUGAUUUGUCUGGUUAAUUCCGUUAACGAACGAGACCUCGACCUGCUAAAUAGAUGAUUCGUUUCACAACGUUUCACGCUUCUUAGAGGGACUUUGGCAUUGAAGGCUACAGGAAGUUCGAGGCAAUAACAGGUCU
rnacentral:rRNA from 1 species